rnacentral:rRNA from 1 species
UACGUAGGGCGCAAGCGUUAUCCGGAAUUAUUGGGCGUAAAGAGCUCGUAGGUGGUCUGUCGCGUCUGCUGUGAAAACCUAGGGCUUAACUCUGGGCGUGCAGUGGGUACGGGCAGGCUAGAGUGCGGUAGGGGAGACUGGAAUUCCUGGUGUAGCGGUGAAAUGCGCAGAUAUCAGGAGGAACACCGGUGGCGAAGGCGGGUCUCUGGGCCGUAACUGACGCUGAGGAGCGAAAGCAUGGGGAGCGAACAGG